CUUAGUGAUUAUAGCCCUCUGUUCGGUAGAUAGGGUAAACGAACCAUAUAGUAAUCCCAAUAGCUUCACAAGAUGAUUCCCUUAGUGAAACACACGAAUCCCCAAACAUCAGCCGAAGUCAAGAAGGGUACAAAAUGAACUAACUUUUAAUGGGUGCACACAGGCUUUUAUGCAAGUCCCCAUGCAAGGGGACAUCCCUCAGGGAGGGACAAAGAUUAACCAAUCAUAUACUGUAAAAA